rnacentral:rRNA from 1 species
UACGUAGGGUGCAAGCGUUAAUCGGAAUUACUGGGCGUAAAGCGUGCGCAGGCGGUUCGCUGUGUCCGAUGUGAAAGCCCCGGGCUUAACCUGGGAAUGGCAUUGGAAACUGGCGGGCUUGAGUGCGGCAGAGGGGGGUGGAAUUCCGCGUGUAGCAGUGAAAUGCGUAGAGAUGCGGAGGAACACCGAUGGCGAAGGCAGCCCCCUGGGUCGACACUGACGCUCAGGCACGAAAGCGUGGGGAGCAAACAGG